CCUACGGGAGGCAGCAGUUAGGAAUAUUCGUCAAUGGGGGAAACCCUGAACGAGCAAUGCCGCGUGAGUGAUGAAGGUCUUAUAGAUUGUAAAACUCUGUUGUAAAGGAAGAACGACUAUCAUAGGAAAUGAUAAUAGAGUGACGGUACUUUACCAGAAAGCCCCGGCUAACUACGUGCCAGCAGCCGCGGUAAUACGUAGGGGGCGAGCGUUAUCCGGAUUUAUUGGGCGUAAAGGGUGCGUAGGCGGUUUAUUAAGUUUAAGAUAAAAGCCCGGAGCUUAACUCCGGUGUGUCUUAAAAACUG
rnacentral:rRNA from 1 species